UGAAAAUGAUUUUGUUCCAGUCCCUACCGCUUAUAGUACUAGGAUUAUAAUGAAAGAUCCCUCACAGCACACUUUUUUCUACGUAUUUUGAUUAUUACAUGGUAAUUUGGCUCAGCACAGUGGGACUCGAGUGGGAUUCUCUAUGAGGUUUCAAAAAGGCAAACAAAAGCAGCCACAAAUCGUUGCCAUUGUCUUGGGAUGUCCAUAACAAUGAAAGGAUCGUUCGACAACGCCAACAUCUAAUCCGCAAAACGAAAACGAUUAAUCUGGCACAGCAGAGCAGAGCUGAAAGAAGAG